CGAGAUGAAUCUUCCCUGAGCCUUUAAGGCUCCUGAAGGAACGUUGAAGACGACGACGUUGAUAGGCCGGGUGUGUAAGCGCAGCGAUGCGUUGAGCUAACCGGUACUAAUGAACCGUGAGGCUUAACCUUACAACGCCGAAG
rnacentral:rRNA from 1 species